AAUAAAUAUCUCACAUCUCUCCACACUCUCACAUUCAUUUUUUUUUUUUCUUAUCUGCCAUUCAAUAUUGUGAGCAGUCCUUUUAAGUCAAUAGUGCAUUUUGGGAUGUGAAUUCAUAUAAAAUGGAAAAUGAAAACAAUAGAAGUUUCAGAAUUAAAGGUGUGUUUCUUGGGCUGUAAACCUUUUGACUGCAUAGUUUAGAAUAAUGUGAUAGAUGGAAUGAAAUUUUUUGUUAGAUAAUAUAUAAUACAGAUCAAAUAAUUAGUAUACAAAGAUUUUCUUACAAGUUCUGCUUCCUGAUUUUCUCAAUUGGUUGGCUCUUCUAAUGGCUCCAGUUGAUUUUUGCAGAGACUAUGACUAUUUUAAACCAGUGGAAUUCUUGUCUCUUUGCAGAUUAAGGAAUUACUUAACAGUAACAGCAUGACUGUGCUUUGAUUUAUUUUUUCUAAAAUAUUGAAACAGAAAAACAAGAGAAAGAAGGAAGUUGCUUUUAUAUUAAUAGUUCCUCAAGACCUUAAAAAGGAACAUCUGAUCUUGGGAAACAAGAGAACAACUUCUGGAGAGAUGUGUUGGUAAAGCCAAGUCCCAAGAGGGAUGGCUGAAGAAUGAUCAAAAGCUUGGAUUAAUUCUUUUUUUUUUUUUUUUACUUAGGUUGUUUUUAUCAUUUUGUUUUGGUUCCUGGAAUUUCUUAUUAAUUUUACAAGUCCUGUUACAGACUGGUUUUUUUGAACUUCCUUCCUGCUCAUUUAAUUUAAUGGAUGAAUAAAACUUUUCCACAGAAAUUACAAUAGCAGGAAAAGUUUAUAAGACCAUAUGCAGCAGACUUUGAGAACAUCCAUGCCUGUAAUAGGUCUUUGAUAAAUUCUGACAGUUGUCAGUCUUCUAAUGCAGAAGUCAUUUGACACUCUUAUUCUGUAUUGAGACCAUUACAUAUCAGAAAUAACAAGUGACUACUGAAUCUCUAUUUGAUGGUGUCCAAGAGCACUCCUGUGAACUUAUGAACUAAAGCACAAAAAAAUUCACUGGAGAAAAGACACUUGGGGGAAAAAUAAGACUUCUUUGUGUUUGGUGAGCAUCCAGGACUCAGCUUUCUGUAUUGUUAAUAUAUUCAUAAAAAAUUGGAAGCUUUGUUCACUGAUUUACCUAAGUGAUAAGAUUUUAAUGCUGAUUGUACUCUACUUGGGCCAGUAUAAGGUAAAAUAAUAAAAC
rnacentral:lncRNA from 1 species